rnacentral:lncRNA from 1 species
CGUGGGCUCUGCAGAGCAGGCACCUUGUUUAACCCAUCCCUGGGCAGAGUGAAAGCCACAGCCAACGAUGGACAGAAGAGACACAUGAAGGUGGUGACGCACUGAACAGGUUGCCCAAGGAGGCUGUGGAUGCCCCAUCCCUGGAGGCAUUCAAGGCCAGGCUGGAUGUGGCUCUGGGCAGCCUGGGCUGCUGGUUGGCAGCCCUGCACACAGCAGGGGGUUGGAACUGAUGAGCAUUGUGGUCCUUUUCAACCCAGGCCAUUCUAUGAUUCUAUGACAAUGGCCCCUUCCAACCCACUGCAAUUGGGGUGGCUCUGUGGACAUCACUGUGGCACUGGGAGAUGACACUGCCCUCCACCACGCUUUGGGAUGCCCUCUGGAGACCCAGAGGCUCUGAUGGGCAAAACUCUGCUGCGACGCCACGAACAAAGCUGCUGGCACAGAGAAGCUCUAAAGCUGUUUCGUGAACCAAGACUCACCUCAGACCCUAAUGAGUGCCAGACCAACCAGAGUCACACCUGUGGAUGCAGAGUGCUACCCCCACAACAACAGUCCUUGCAUUAGUCAAGGUCCCUGCUGGUAACCUGAAUUUUGUUGUAUUCUCUGGGAGACAGCACAGAAAUCAAAGGCUCACACAGCUGGCAGUAAUUCACAGUGGGAAAACGCUCCUGGCUGCUUAUUUAUCAGAGCCUCAAUACCCCCAGAACCCAUAGGGCUCAUACAGCAUCAGGAUGUGCUGUAAUGUUUUUUCACAGGGAGCAGCCAGAGAUGCAUGCUGCAGAAGGAAUCCUUUCCCUGCAUUAAGCCUGGACCCCCAGACCUGGCUGCUAAAGCCUCCACCCAAACAGCCCCCUCUGUCCUGCCCCUUCCCAGCACCAGGGUGUAGAGCAGUCAUUGGAGAACCACUGAACAGCAUCUUCUUCACUACUUAACGUAGAGUGUUUUGCUGUCCUUCCACGGCAUACAAACACAUGUGGGCUACAGGAGAGAUGCUUCUCAGCAGGAGCCUGCUCUGCAUUUAUGGGGCUAUAAAUUAGGUCUCCAGAGUAAGGUAUUUUGUGAGGAAAUGAGGCCCAUUACCCCAGUUCUGUUACUUAAAAGAGGUAACAGUUUACACCGGAGGAUAACAGCCAGCUUUCUUCUAAGCAAGCACUGAGGGCAAAAGGAACCACUGUGCAGGAUGCAGCCCAGAGCUGCUCCCAGAAGAGGUGCUGUGGGGACAACUAUGGCCAAGGCUCGGGGCUGGCAACAGGGAAGGACAGCAGCAGUGGGAUGGAUGCAAUGGGACGGAGACCAUCUGCUGGCAAAUCAGGCGCAUCAGCACUAAAGUGCUGCUCAAAACCAAAGAUUGGAGAGCUCCAGCUCCAGGUGUGUGCCACAGCAGUGGGACACCUCUGCACUGCCAGCAGCCACUGCACUGCCAGGCUUAGUGCUACCUGGGGAGCAGGGCACCGAGCCCAGCUCUGCCUGCAUGGGGGAUCACACCCUGUGCACCAGCAAAGCCCUCCCCGUGCCGUGCCAGCACCGCCUGAGCACGCUUGGAGAGUUAAGAAGCUCCCA